GUCAAGCAACUAAGCGCAUCUGGUGGAUGCCUUGGCGGCAACAGGCGAUGAAGGACGUAGUAGCCUGCGAUAAGUCACGGGGAGCUGGCAAACAAGCUUUGAUCCGUGAAUUUCCGAAUGGGGCAACCCGGCCCGCAAGGGUCAUCCUGCACUGAAUUCAUAGGUGUAGGAGGCGAACCCGGAGAACUGAAACAUCUAAGUACCCGGAGGAAAGGAAAUCAAUGAUACUCCCCCAGUAGCGGCGAGCGAACGGGGACCAGCCGAGCCAUGAAUGUGACUGGAACAGACUGGAAAGUCUGGCCAAAGUGGGUGACAGCCCCGUACAGGAAGCAUGAUUGGACGUAUUAAGCAGGGCGGGACACGUGAAAUC
rnacentral:rRNA from 14 species